rnacentral:rRNA from 1 species
GAUGAACGCUGGCGGCGUGCCUAAUACAUGCAAGUCGAGCGAACGGACGAGAAGCUUGCUUCUCUGAUGUUAGCGGCGGACGGGUGAGUAACACGUGGAUAACCUACCUAUAAGACUGGGAUAACUUCGGGAAACCGGAGCUAAUACCGGAUAAUAUUUUGAACCGCAUGGUUCAAAAGUAAAAGACGGUCUUGCUGUCACUUAUAGAUGGAUCCGCGCUGCAUUAGCUAGUUGGUAAGGUAACGGCUUACCAAGGCAACGAUGCAUAGCCGACCUGAGAGGGUGAUCGGCCACACUGGAACUGAGACAUGGUCCAGACUCCUACGGGAGGCAGCAGUAGGGAAUCUUCCGCAAUGGGCGAAAGCCUGACGGAGCAACGCCGCGUGAGUGAUGAAGGUCUUCGGAUCGUAAAACUCUGUUAUUAGGGAAGAACAUAUGUGUAAGUAACUGUGCACAUCUUGACGGUACCUAAUCAGAAAGCCACGGCUAACUACGUGCCAGCAGCCGCGGUAAUACGUAGGUGGCAAGCGUUAUCCGGAAUUAUUGGGCGUAAAGCGCGCGUAGGCGGUUUUUUAAGUCUGAUGUGAAAGCCCACGGCUCAACCGUGGAGGGUCAUUGGAAACUGGAAAACUUGAGUGCAGAAGAGGAAAGUGGAAUUCCAUGUGUAGCGGUGAAAUGCGCAGAGAUAUGGAGGAACACCAGUGGCGAAGGCGACUUUCUGGUCUGUAACUGACGCUGAUGUGCGAAAGCGUGGGGAUCAAACAGGAUUAGAUACCCUGGUAGUCCACGCCGUAAACGAUGAGUGCUAAGUGUUAGGGGGUUUCCGCCCCUUAGUGCUGCAGCUAACGCAUUAAGCACUCCGCCUGGGGAGUACGACCGCAAGGUUGAAACUCAAAGGAAUUGACGGGGACCCGCACAAGCGGUGGAGCAUGUGGUUUAAUUCGAAGCAACGCGAAGAACCUUACCAAAUCUUGACAUCCUUUGACAACUCUAGAGAUAGAGCCUUCCCCUUCGGGGGACAAAGUGACAGGUGGUGCAUGGUUGUCGUCAGCUCGUGUCGUGAGAUGUUGGGUUAAGUCCCGCAACGAGCGCAACCCUUAAGCUUAGUUGCCAUCAUUAAGUUGGGCACUCUAAGUUGACUGCCGGUGACAAACCGGAGGAAGGUGGGGAUGACGUCAAAUCAUCAUGCCCCUUAUGAUUUGGGCUACACACGUGCUACAAUGGACAAUACAAAGGGCAGCGAAACCGCGAGGUCAAGCAAAUCCCAUAAAGUUGUUCUCAGUUCGGAUUGUAGUCUGCAACUCGACUACAUGAAGCUGGAAUCGCUAGUAAUCGUAGAUCAGCAUGCUACGGUGAAUACGUUCCCGGGUCU